rnacentral:lncRNA from 1 species
AAGCUGAGCCCAGUUCCUGGUGGACCGCCUCAGAAUCACCUGAAAAAUCUUAUGCAAUUUCUAAUCUCUCCUUCUGACCUGGGAAAUUUUAGUUCAUUAAUUCUGGAGUCAGCUAUUUCAGUGCUCAAUGAAUUUAGGCCACAAAGGCUGUCAACUCUGUGAUGACAUGGACUUUACACUCUUGCUCCGCAGAGCACCUUGCAAAGACCAUUUACCAAGUGGAACAUUCAUCUGGGAUUCUCUCUACUCGAUGAAUGAACCUGCUUCUAGAUGA